UGGAUAUGCGUCGAGUAGGUGGGGUAUUGGGAAGUUGCAGGCCGAGGUUCACGUUCGAAUAGGGCCAUGACAGUGACUUUUAGAUAUGUUAUGAGGGCCCUGUACAAGUCUUCUCUUCCGCACUUGUGUUUCGUGUGAACUUUCAUACAUUUUCUGUACAUUGAACAAAAUCAUAACUUUCGUAACUCGGAGAAAAGUGUUAUAUGUGUUCACCCGCGCAAUGGAUUAUUGUGAAAUGAACAGAAUAUGUUUAUUUACAGCGAUAUAAUGCAACAGUCAAUUUUAAUCGUCACUGGUCAGUGGUGUAGCUGGAGGCGGUGAAAUAUGAAGUGAAUUGAAAAUUAGUGGUUGAAAAUAACAGUUAUCACAGAUGGCCUUCUUUUAAAUCUGUUGCUGCAGUACUGAGGACAAUUAAUUUUUAUCACUUCGACAGUGUCAUAUUAGGAGCAUCGUUAUAGUGUAAUGAAUGUUACUCAUUUUGAAUUAUAAAAUUGGCGACUGAAGGAGUUUGACGCCCGUUGUGUUGUGGUUGUAGUGUAAUAAGGACAUAACAUCGGUACAUAACAGUACAUCAUUUCUGUCGUUGGAUAAGUGUCAGACUGCAUUUCAUCUCCAUCUCUUUGAUAAUUUCUGUGGCGUGUAUGACCCGAUGAGAUCUGACCCCUGGGAAACUGCCUGGAACUGUCACCUGACUGCAACCGGUGCCAUGUUGUGAGGCGCGGUAAGAGUGGGCUGCAGGUUUGAUGCAACAUGAAGACCGGAACGAUGUUGGUGGCCUUCCUCACCCUCUGGACCACAGCGGUGGACGCCCUGGACACCUCCCAGUGCAUUGCACCUCUGGGGAUGGAGUCGGGAGCGAUUCGAGACGAAGAUAUUACCGCGAGCUCCUCCUU